rnacentral:rRNA from 1 species
GAUGAACGCUGGCGGCGUGCCUAAUACAUGCAAGUCGAGCGGACGAACGCGAAGCUUUCUGCUCUGAUGUUAGCGGCGGAGGGGUGGGUAACACGAGGAUAACCUACCUCUACCACUGGGAUGACAACGGGAAACCGGAGCUAAUAACGGGGGAUAUUUUGAACCUCAUGGUUCAAGGGUGAGAGACGGUUUUGCUUUCGCUGAUGGAUGGGUCCGCGCUGCAUUAGCUAGUUGGUAAGGUGACGGCGUACCAAGGCAACGAUGAAUAGCCGGCCUGAGAGGGGGGUCGGCCACCCCGGAACGAAGGAGCGGCCCAGAAGCCUCCGACAGGCAGCAGCAGUGAAGCUUACGGCACGGGGGGAAGCAUGCUAGAGCAGCGACGCGGGGUGGAUGAAGGUCUCCGGAUCGUAAUGAUCUGUUAUCAGGGAAGAAGAUAUGUGGACGUAAUUGUGCACAUCUUGACGGUACCUAAACAGAAAGCCACGGCUAACUACGUG